GACGUAGGGCGCGAGCGUUGUCCGGAUUUAUUGGGCGUAAAGAGCUCGUAGGCGGCUUGUCGCGUCGACUGUGAAAACCCGUGGCUCAACCAUGUGGUCUGCAGUCGAUACGGGCAGGCUAGAAUUCGGUAGGGGAGACUGGAAUUCCUGGUGUAGCGGUGAAAUGCGCAGAUAUCAGGAGGAACACCGGUGGCGAAGGCGGGUCUCUGGGCCGAUAUUGACGCUGAGGAGCGAAAGCGUGGGGAGCGAACAGGAUUAGAAACCCCCGUAGUCC
rnacentral:rRNA from 1 species